rnacentral:rRNA from 1 species
UACGGAGGGUGCGAGCGUUGUCCGGAAUCACUGGGCGUAAAGGGCGCGUAGGCGGCCCGGUAAGUAGGGGGUGAAAUCCUGCGGCUUAACCGCAGGGCUGCCUUCUAAACUGCCAGGCUUGAGCACAGUAGAGGCAGGUGGAAUUCCCGGUGUAGCGGUGGAAUGCGUAGAGAUCGGGAAGAACAUCGGUGGCGAAGGCGGCCUGCUGGGCUGUUGCUGACGCUGAGGCGCGACAGCGUGGGGAGCAAACAGG